CCGUGGUCUAUGCACGUGCCCGGUUAAAGCUAUUUCACACCCUUAAUCUCCUUCAUUCGCGCUAAUUCAACAAGAUAGUCAAGAAGUCCACGGAUGUUCCAGAUCAUUAUUAGUGUUUAUUUAUUCAUUUGAUUAAUCGUAGUGUUUUAUGUUGAAACUGAAAAGCUUCAAGUUGUAUUGUAAAUACUUACUGUUGCCAACCAAUGCCUUCAACGGACCCUUUAAACGGUUCUUCUUCAUCACAUUCCUAAAAGAGAGGGAGUAAUGAGGGUUUUAACUUCCACUGAACAGAAACAAGUUUGAUCUGGUCACUUGCCAAGUCCAUUGACUUAUAUUAGCAAGGUGAAGGAGAAUGAGAAUAAUCAGCACAAGAUACAAGUGUGAAGGGGUACUUAAACAUUUUUAUUAUUGCUAUUUAAGAAAAAUGAUCAACUAAGGGAAAGUCAAGCAUGAAGUUUCUUGAGGGCGCUUAGUGAGAAGGUAUUCUAAAUUCCUCUUGUCUGAAAAAAUGAAAUAGGUUGGAGGUCAUUAGAGUGAAAAGUAACCAUUGGACUUGGGUGCGCCUCCACAAGCAAAAUCUGAAUGGACACAUGGAUUGAUGGACAGGGCGAUGGCACCACACCACGUGUUUAUGAAAAGAUGGGCAUAUAGAUAUCAAAAGAAUUUGUAAGGAAUUGUUCCCUAGUUGAGCAAGUAAUGUCUUACCUCAGUGUGUGGACUGAUUCUGUACAUAUCGACAGAAAAGGAACAGUUCUUGAUGAUCAAAAAUCUAUCUUUUAUUAUGUGCUAUGGUACUGUUUGCUGUUUGGUUCAUUAAUAAUUAGUUUAUAGACGGAAUCUGGGGUUGCAAUGUGCGUGUAAAUAUAGCACUUGGCUACUUGCAACUCGUAUAAAAUUUUUCCUUUAAUUGUUAUUCCAUUCUGAAAUGAAAUAUCUGAUAUAGAAUAUGAUCAUUCCGACC